rnacentral:snRNA from 1 species
GUGCUCUUUCAGCAGCACGUACACUAAGGGUGGACUGAUACAGAGAAGAUGAGCCCAGGCCCUGCACAUGUGUACAUGCAGAAUCUGAAGUCUACCAUUUU